AUAAUACCGCUUUAACCGCCCAUUAAGUACAGCUGGAAGACAGAACAGAAUGAAACAUGCAGCAGCUGUCAUGAAUCCAGCCUAUAAAUGUUGAUGAAAUCUCUUCAUCCAAUCUCUCUGAAGACUUCCUGACAUUUUUCAGAAACAACAUUUCUGAUCUUGGAUUGUCUCCUCUAUCUAAUGUGGAUCCAGUGGCUCCAUCAGUUUGCCAUGCAGUCUUUUAAUGUUUUGAGCCUGUGUCUCUUAGUGAAUUGACAAAAAUUGUUAAAAAGUUAAAGCUUUCUUCAUGCCCUCUGGACCAUGCCCAGGCGUUGGUUUAUAGAUGUCUUUGACUGUAUUGUUCCAUGUAUUGUUGAAAUGGUAAAUGCUUCCCUGAUAUCUGAAUGUUUUCCCACUACUUUGAAACCUGCUGUGGUCCAUCUGCUCAUUAAAAAAAAGUAUGUGUGAAAGUGGGGUGUCCCGUGUCUUUUAUUCCAUGCCCUUCUUUGACCCAGACUCCAGUCGCUGAGCCUUAGGUUCUUAAAGUCCCCUUUGUUUGUUUUGUUGGGUUCAGUAAAUGAUAAAGUUGACAGAAUACAUUACUGUGAGGAAAAAUAAACAUUUCUAUUUGAAACUUGAACUGCGUCUCCUGUCCACAGAGCUGCCAAACUAGAUAACCUUCUAGUUGGUGGUGUGUUUGGAACCGGGCGUUGCUAACUCUCUCAAGUCACUACAAUAGAAUGAGAAUUUCAACUUGGAACAAAACCACAAUUUUCAGUUGUAAAACCCCAAGGCUGUUCUACUGCACCAGCAACUGUGAUCUUUGUUUUUGACUGGACAUUUGGUGCUCUGUUUGAAGCAUGAAUCCUGCCUGAACACAAACAUGAACAUCUGAGACAGAAAGUAGGAACUUCACCUGCUGCAAAUGGAUUCAUUUACAACUUUCGUCUCCACCUCCUCCCCUUGCACACAUACCACACAAACACAGAUCCCCACCCACACCAUUCACCACACAAACACAGAUCCCCACCCACACCAUUCCCCACCCAUCUCCCUGCCUACAUGCACACAUCGACUGAACCUCUGACCAAAGAUGGGCAAACAGCUGGACUGCUCAAAGUUUCUGAAACUGUUACUGACUGGCUGCAGUACAUCAACAUAGAGCAGCUUGGGAAUGUGUGUGUGUGUGUAUGUAUGUGUAUAUUUAUUCUUUUUUCUGUUUAUGGCAUCUGGACUGAAAGCUGCAUCAGCAGCUAAUCUGAGAACUUGUUGGCGUCUGAAAGAACAAAAACUGUGAGCAAAUCUCUGAAUAAAUCAUCUAUUUCUUUA